AUGCCGGGCGGAGGGUUCGCUGUGUCGGCGCCGUCCGGCGUGGAGUUCGAGGCCAAGAUCACGCCCAUCGUCAUCAUCUCCUGCAUCAUGGCGGCCACCGGCGGCCUCAUGUUCGGCUACGAUGUCGGCAUCUCAGGCGGAGUGACAUCGAUGGACGAUUUCCUGCGUGAGUUCUUCCCGGCGGUGCUGCGCCGGAAGAACCAGGACAAGGAGAGCAACUACUGCAAGUACGACAACCAGGGCCUGCAGCUCUUCACCUCAUCGCUCUACCUCGCCGGCCUCACCGCCACCUUCUUCGCCUCCUACACUACCCGCCGCCUCGGCCGCCGCCUCACCAUGCUCAUCGCCGGCGUCUUCUUCAUCAUCGGCGUCAUCUUCAACGGGGCCGCCCAGAACCUCGCUAUGCUUAUCAUCGGCAGGAUCCUGCUCGGCUGCGGCGUCGGUUUCGCCAACCAGGCCGUUCCCCUGUUCCUGUCUGAGAUCGCGCCGACGAGGAUCCGCGGCGGGCUCAACAUCCUGUUCCAGUUGAACGUGACCAUCGGCAUCCUGUUCGCAAACCUGGUCAACUACGGCACCAGCAAGAUCCACCCGUGGGGCUGGCGGCUGUCGCUGUCGCUGGCUGGCAUCCCGGCGGCGAUGCUCACCCUGGGCGCGCUCUUCGUCACCGACACCCCCAACAGCCUCAUCGAGCGCGGCCACCUGGAGGAGGGCAAGGCGGUGCUCAAGCGGAUCCGCGGCACCGACAACGUGGAGCCGGAGUUCAACGAGAUCGUGGAGGCAAGCCGCAUCGCGCAGGAGGUGAAGCACCCGUUCCGGAACCUGCUCCAGCGCCGCAACCGCCCCCAGCUGGUCAUCGCCGUGCUGCUCCAGAUCUUCCAGCAGUUCACGGGGAUCAACGCCAUCAUGUUCUACGCCCCCGUGCUGUUCAACACGCUGGGGUUCAAGAGCGACGCGUCGCUCUACUCGGCGGUGAUCACGGGCGCCGUCAACGUGCUGGCCACGCUGGUGUCGGUGUACGCCGUGGACCGCGCCGGGCGGCGGGCGCUGCUGCUGGAGGCCGGCGUGCAGAUGUUCCUGUCGCAGGUGGUGAUCGCCGUGGUGCUGGGCAUCAAGGUGACGGACAAGUCGGACAACCUGGGCCACGGGUGGGCCAUCCUGGUGGUGGUCAUGGUGUGCACCUACGUGGCCUCCUUCGCCUGGUCCUGGGGCCCGCUGGGGUGGCUCAUCCCCAGCGAGACGUUCCCGCUGGAGACGCGGUCGGCGGGGCAGAGCGUGACGGUGUGCGUCAACCUGCUCUUCACCUUCCUCAUCGCGCAGGCCUUCCUCUCCAUGCUCUGCCACCUCAAGUUCGCCAUCUUCAUCUUCUUCUCGGCCUGGGUGCUCGUCAUGUCCGUCUUCGUGCUCUUCUUCCUCCCGGAGACCAAGAACGUGCCCAUCGAGGAGAUGACCGACAAGGUGUGGAAGCAGCACUGGUUCUGGAAGCGCUUCAUGGACGACGACGACCAACACCACAACAUCGCCAACGGCAAGAACGCCACCGUCUGA
rnacentral:rRNA from 1 species